rnacentral:rRNA from 1 species
CGUAGGGUGCAAGCGUUAAUCGGAAUUACUGGGCGUAAAGCGUGCGCAGGCGGUUAUGUAAGACAGAUGUGAAAUCCCCGGGCUCAGCCUGGGAACUGCAUUUGUGACUGCAUAGCUAGAGUACGGUAGAGGGGGAUGGAAUUCCGCGUGUAGCAGUGAAAUGCGUAGAUAUGCGGAGGAACACCGAUGGCGAAGGCAAUCCCCUGGACCUGUACUGACGCUCAUGCACGAAAGCGUGGGGAGCAAACAGGAUUAGAUACCCUGGUAGUCCACGCCCUAAACGAUGUCAACUGGUUGUUGGGUCUUCACUGACUCAGUAACGAAGCUAACGCGUGAAGUUGACCGCCUGGGGAGUACGGCCGCAAGGUUG